CUUAUAGAAGAAAACUAAUAUCGGUGUCUGGAGCUCAACUUUUAUCAAAAACAUGAUGGUGAAAACCACAGGGGAACUGUUUACAUUUUAUGCGAAUGCCAACAUCCUAUUGUUAUUGUUUAGUAUGUUGCCGAGUAUAUCUCCGCUUUUGUUUAUUUUUAAUUUUGUAUACGUAUACUUUGGGGAAAUCUUAAGAAAAUAAUAAUAUAAUUAGCUUACUACUUUUCAAAAUUUCGACAUCUAUAAUUUUAUUUAGUACUUAUUAAGAUUCAGUCAAGAUUACAAGAAAAAUAAACUUGAAAUAUUUGUAAAUUUCGUCAUUUUUCAUCAGCUGUUAGGAUUAAUUUUUAAUCUGACAACGCCGCUCUGUUGUUAUAGUAUUUUCUAUAGUAGGGGAAUUGGACGCGGUCAACAGUGUCAAACUGUCGAUAAACAGCUGAUUGGCAUGAUCAGCUGUUUGCCGUGCUUUUAUUUUUCCAUAUUUCUUAACUAUUAAUAAACAUAAAUUAUACAUUAAUAUAUAAUUGUUUCAUUUUAUAUAAAAGACCAAAAUUAGCAUUUAAAAUGGGUCUACACUGGCAAAAUGUAUGAGAAUUAAAGAAUUUAAACAUCGUGGAGUGUCAUUUCAAAAAUUUCUAAAAGAUAGUGAGAGAAAAAUUAAAUGGUUUUCUCUGUUAGGAUUUAUUCAUAGCAUAAUAUUAAAAAGUCGAGCAAAAGAGAACUCAAGAACAGCUGAUUUUUUUUAUAAGGAAUUGAAGAAAAUAUUUAAAAUCUGAUAAUUUUCACAGCCAUUUAUGUCGCGAUUUGUGGUUUUUCAGAUGUUUCAACAUCACCUAGGAAAUUAACAUUAAGAUAUCAGGAUCCUGCAUAUAACGAGAUAAGAACUAUGAUCUUGUUAGGAUACCUAUUCCGUCACAAUAUGAAGUGAAGAUAUUCAUGGUGUGGAAGUCGUUACUUUAAUUACAUAGUGCAUAUGAAAUUGGUCCUUUACAUCAUGUUUAAAAUUGACGUAAUGCUACUAUGCAAAAUAGUGAGAGAUGUGAACCCUAGGCAGAGCUACAGAAUUACUUUUGUUGAGAGACAAAUUAUGAUAGUGAUUAGAAUCGCAUAUUCUAGACUUUUACUUAAAAAAUGAUUUGUUCGGAAUGAACUUUUAUAGUGUGGAGGAAUACCUGCAAAUUAUAAUAUGAGGCCUACGUAUAUGAUAAUUUUAUUAUGAUCUGUUGUGUUUGUUUUUUUAUAUUUUGUAUUAUAUAUUUGUGUUAGCUUUAAGAAUUUAUUGACUAUUCCUAUACAAUUGUACAUUGUUUUAUGGAAAUAAAUAAAUGAUUGAUUGAUUGAAUAAGUUAGGAAACCAUACGAUCGAGAAAAAAACGGCUUCAAAGGCGACUGGGGAAUGAAAAUAUGAUAAUUUCAGUGAGGUCAAGCCCUAGAAGUCAUUUUCUUGGCUCGUACUAUUUUUUAAAGGCGCUCUAAGGUUGUAAUUUAUUUUUACAUUAAGUAAAUAUGAUUUUUAAAUGGUGUAGUUUAAGAUUGACCUCGCUAAAUUAUCAAUCGUCAUUCCUCAGCCGCCUUUGACGCCGUUUUUUUUAGACUAUUUGCUAUAACUAUGUUAUCUGUUAUGCAAAUACAUAUGUCAACAAGUAAAAAGCCAAUGAGAAAUUAGUUUCUGCUUGGAUCCUUACAGUGGCAUUUAACAAAAUAUAUAUUUUUUCAGGUUACAAUAUUUUAUUUAAUAUGAACCUGUAAAUGUAAGAAUAUUAUACAUAUAUUAUAUUUUUUACUCAGUCCCUAAAUAUAUUAUUAAAAUACAACACUUGUGUUUUUUAUUAAUAUCGUGUUAUGAUUAAUACCUAAUUAAUGUAAAAUUAUAUGGUAUGUAAAUAUCCUUACACUGAGAAUUCGUUUGGUCAAAAUAUUACUCUCUUACUAAUAUGAAUUUGAAAACUACAGAACAUUGUUUUUUUUUAGUUUUUGUGCUAAUAUUUCCACUUAAAAUUACCGAAUAUAUUUAUGGUAUAGGUAGGAAAAGAUGAAUUUUGUGCUUUUUAAUUAUACAUUAUAUUAAUUAUAUUAUUAUUGUAAAUAAUAUCUACUGAUAUUUAAUAUAAAAAAUAGUUAUUCACAUGCAUCUAUUUUUCUUUUGUAAUUAAUACUAUCUAAAUAACAAGACAUCUUAUAUAAUAGAUCCAUUAACAUUUUAGUUUAUCAAUUAUCAAUCACUAUACGAUAUACAAUACGUAUAAUAUCUUUUAAUUAUAUCUAACUUUUAAUUAUUGAAUAUUUAAUAAACAAAUUUUUUAUAGUGUUUGUUAAAUAUUUUAUAGCAUAUACUAUUA